rnacentral:rRNA from 1 species
GAUGAACGCUAGCUAUAGGCUUAACACAUGCAAGUCGAGGGACCGGCGCACGGGUGAGAAACGCGUAUCCAACCUGCACAUAACUAAGGGAUAACGCAGCGAAAGCUGGACUAAUACCUUAUGGUUAUGGAUGGGUAUGCGUCUGAUUAGCUUGUUGGCGGGGUAACGGCCCACCAAGGCAACGAUCAGUAGGGGUUCUGAGAGUAAGGUCCCCUACAUUGGGACUGGGACACGGCCCAAACGCCUACGGGAGGCAGCAGUGAGGAAUAUUGGUAAAUGGGCGCAAGUCUGAACCAGCCAAGUAGCGUGCAGGAUGACGGCCUAUGGGUUGUUAACUGCUUUUAUAUGAGGAUAGGUACCAGAUGAAUAAGGCCCGGCUAAUUCCGUGCCAGCAGCCGCGGUAAUUC